rnacentral:lncRNA from 1 species
UGGCUAUUAAUGAAGCUAUAAAUGUUGAAUUGUAAGUAACAUUAACUAAUCCUAGAGAUUUAUCAUAUAAAGGUUCUUAGCAUUAAAAUUUCUAAUCAAAAAUACAUAAUGUUGAAGAGUUAAAUUUCCAUUCAGAUAUUUUGAGAAUUUUAUUUUUUGUCAUUUUCAACAGAUGGCGCAAAGCGAUAAAACAAACGAAUAUCUAUAUAAUCCAUGAGUUGUACACUUCAAGUUUUCCCUAUUAAAAACGUCAUAUGUGAUGUCAUAUUUUUUAAACCAAUAACAAAAAGAUGGAAAUAUCGCUUAGUUAUUCCGAAUUUAACGAUGUUUACAGAAGAUUAAAAGAAUAUCCGAAAAAAAAAUACAAUGACAAGUCAGUUAUAAUGCACAAUAGAAUUAGUAAGUGUUUCAAAUAACUUAUUGAAACGAAAAUAAUUCAUAGAAUUCGGGGUGACAAAAGCUGCUUGUGUUAGGUUAGGUUAAGUGGCCACACCGCUGCAGAGGUAUUCUGUAUCUGGCGACGGCCACUUAUAGAUCCAAUCAUAGGCUGACCAACAUCCAUGACGAAGUCAACCGGAGAGUUGAAAGAUGGGAUUCAACGGGACGGGCCCGGAUCCUUCUGAAAAACUGCACAUGUGGGACACGGAUUUUCUAGUGUGGUAAGCCACAGCUUUCCUAAGCGGCAAUCCAAAAGCUGCAUAGAGAAAAUUUAAUUCGAUCACAAAUGUACAAUUGGUGAUCUGUUAGGAAACACUCCCACUACGAAUGAAUCGGAUAACAAACAAUUUAGGGAAAGAUUUUUAUCUUCGGAAAACGAAGACCUCAGAACAAACUGGGACACACGGACUGAUCCGCAAGGAAUAACAAUCUUAUGGCUUAUGCGUUCCUGUACUUAAGGGUAAGGAUGGAAGAAAGUGGUUUUUACCGAUUAAAACGAACUCUGAGACAAUUUAAAACAAAUCAACGAUUUAUUAAAGGAGGAAAGAGAGAGUUGUACAAUUUUUUGUUCUUAGAAUGGCACUCAAAUCAGAUUGAGGUAAAUUGGUUAAAGAAGUCGGAAGUAUUCGCCGCGUGGAAACAUUUCGUAUUUCCAUUCUGGAAGACACGUGUUCGAGUCUCCGGUCCCACCCCUUGAAAAUAUUUAUCUUGGGAUCUGGGCCCGGCCGUUGAUCCUCGCCUUCACAAUCCAGCUGUUCCCUCCGCUGUCGUAUGCAGCCUGUGAAAGAGUAUGUUUCGCUCCUCGAUUAGUACUCUAAUAGAAUGGUAAGUGAUGUUAUUUGUUAAUAAAAAAAUGCUUAUAAUAUAAUUAAAAUAUAGUCACAUUUCGGUUCAGGAACUCGAUUCGUUCCUGAAGGUCGUUCGUAAACAAAAUCUCUUUCCCUAUAGGAGUUAUUGUAAAAUAUAUUAAUCCUUUUCUGGAUUCUAGAGGAUUUUUCUUUAAACAUUGACAAUAGUACUUUGUGCACAAGUUCUUAAAAAAAGUUCAAUUGAAACUAUUUAAUCUAUCACAAGAAAGAUAAACACAACAAUAUGCAGAUCAAAUAUAAAGGAAAACUUAAUUUUGUUGUAUCGUAGCUGUAUGGAGGAGAGUUGAUGGCGAAAGUAGAUGGUGAGGAAGCGAAAUAUUAUUGUUUGGAAGAGGACUGUUUUUCUUUUUUUCUUCUGUCUCUUGACACCACCCGAAUCUGCUUCAGACCCAUUGCGCUACUGUUCCACUAAAAAUUUGUCCAGUGUGAUUUGUUUUUAUCUACAUUUUAAAAUGUUUCUAAAGUGACACAUGCCGUUAUCAUUAAAAUGUUUAUUUUGACGGCUUGCGUGUUCGUAACUCGAGACACAGUACGUCAUCGGAGACGCUUUGUGUUCGAUAAAUUUGUUCAUAAAUC